rnacentral:rRNA from 1 species
AUUGAACGCUGGCGGCAUGCCUUACACGUGCAAGUCGAACGGCAGCACGGGGGCAACCCUGGUGGCGAGUGGCGAACGGGUGAGUAAUGCAUCGGAACGUGCCCUGUCGCGGGGGAUAACACAUCGAAAGAUGUGCUAAUACCGCAUACGACCUGAGGGUGAAAGCGGGGGACCGUAAGGCCUCGCGCGAUAGGAGCGGCCGAUGUCUGAUUAGCUAGUUGGUGGGGUAAAGGCCUACCAAGGCGACGAUCAGUAGCUGGUCUGAGAGGACGACCAGCCACACUGGGACUGAGACACGGCCCAGACUCCUACGGGAGGCAGCAGUGGGGAAUUUUGGACAAUGGGGGCAACCCUGAUCCAGCCAUGCCGCGUGCGGGAAGAAGGCCUUCGGGUUGUAAACCGCUUUUGGCAGGAACGAAACGGUGCGGGCGAAUACCCUGUGCUAAUGACGGUACCUGCAGAAUAAGCACCGGCUAACUACGUGCCAGCCGCCGCAGUAAUAC